GACGAACGCUGGCGGCGUGCUUAACACAUGCAAGUCGAACGGAAAGGCCCUGCUUUUGUGGGGUGCUCGAGUGGCGAACGGGUGAGUAACACGUGAGUAACCUGCCCUUGACUUUGGGAUAACUUCAGGAAACUGGGGCUAAUACCGGAUAGGAGCUCCUGCUGCAUGGUGGGGGUUGGAAAGUUUCGGCGGUUGGGGAUGGACUCGCGGCUUAUCAGCUUGUUGGUGGGGUAGUGGCUUACCAAGGCUUUGACGGGUAGCCGGCCUGAGAGGGUGACCGGGCACAAUGGGACUGAGAGACGGACCAGAAUCCUACGGGAGGCAGCAGUGGGGAAUAUUGCAAAAUGGGGGGAAGCCUGAUGCAGAAACGCCGCGUGCGGGAUGACGGCCUUCGGGUUGUAAACCGCUUUCGCCUGUGACGAAGCGGGAGUGACGGUAAUGGGUAAAGAAGCACCGGCUAACUACGUG
rnacentral:rRNA from 1 species